GGGGCUGACCGGUUUUGACAGGAUGUGUGAAUCCGUGCACCAGCAUGCAAGCUCAUGAGGGUAGAGCUUUGAUCACUGCUCUCAACAAUUUACGUGGCGAAAAUACUUACGCCAUGGCUGCUUAAUCUGACUUAACGUUGGAUUAGCUUAUGGACGGAUAAGAUCCGCCAGGCCAUCGUCGCCUGAUACUUCUGUUCUGUGAGUAUCAGAUAUGCGGCGUCGAUCAGCAGAACUGGGCCGUCGUGUGUUGCGCACGAUUGUCGAGACAACAGCAACUACGGAGAAGUUUAGGCUGUUGCCUGCCUUGCGUCUCCCGACAAUCAAAGUCAACUAAGCAUGUAGAACGUACGCGUUUAUCUUCUCUGGACCAGGGUUCGAUUCCCUGCAGCUCCACAA
rnacentral:tmRNA from 1 species